GGAGAGAUGGUUUAGAGGUUAAGAGCAUUGGCUGUUCUACCAGAGGACCUGGGUUCAAUUCCCAGUAACCUCA
rfam:Mesocricetus auratus contig045284, whole genome shotgun sequence.